GAAAUAUAGAGGGAGGUGAGAGAGAGAAAGAUAAAGGGAGGUGAGAGAGAGAAAUAUAGAGGGAGGUGAGAGAGAGAAAGAUAAAGGGAGGUGAGAGAGAGAAAUAUAGAGGGAGGUGAGAGAGAGAAAGAUAAAGGGAGGUGAGAGAGAGAAAUAUAGAGGGAGGUGAGAGAGAGAAAGAUAAAGGGAGGUGAGAGAGAGAAAGAUAAAGGGAGGUGAGAGCGAGAAAGAUAAAGGGAGGUGAGAGAGAGAAAGAUAAAGGGAGGUGAGAGAGAGAAAGAUAAAGGGAGGUGAGAGAGAGAAAGAUAAAGGGAGGUGAGAGAGAGAAAGAUAAAGGGAGGUGAGAGAGAGAAAGAUAAAGGGAGGUGAGAGAGAGAAAGAUAAAGGGAGGUGAGAUAUAGAUAGGAAGAUCACGCCAAUGUUAUUAAAUGUCUGCUGUUUAUUUUUAUAGUCAGGUGGCUGGCAGCUGUGGUCUCGUUGCGAUACCAUGACCUUGCAUGUGAAUGAGCGAGGGAGUGAGAGAUACAUAGAUGACAGAGAGAUAGAAACAGAGGGAACACACAGCAGUGUGAGAGAGAGAACGAGGAGUGUGUCUCUUGUCUGUGACCCGUAUCAGCCCACAGCAACCGAGGUCACAGUGGAAUAAUACACACAGGGAUGUUUACCAUUGCCCUAAUCGGAGGUGUGUGUGUGUGU